rnacentral:lncRNA from 1 species
AUCAGGGAAGAUUAGAGAAAAAGACGCCAAAAAAAAUUUCAAACCGUUUAGUAUUUAUAAUAGCCAGGGAGAGGUAAAGGCGAGGAAGAGUCGCGAGCGCCAUGCCUAUCGGACGGAAGGAGGCGGACGGGACGUCGGACGGGACAGGCAACAGGGCGAGAGAAGGCGGAGCGUACGGGAGAAGGCGGACGGGAUGUCGGACGGGACAGGCAACAGGGCGAGAGAAGGUGGAGAGCCGUCAGACGGGACAUGCAACAAAGCGAGAGAAGGCGGAGAUCCGUCGGACGGGACAAGCAACAGGGCGAGAGAAGGCGGAGAUCCGUCGGAUGGGACAGCCAACAGGGUGAGAGAAGGCGGAGAUCCGUCAGACGAGACAGGCAACAGGGCGAGAGAAGGCGGAAAGGCACCAUCACGAAGGCGGAGAGGACGAAAGGACGGCGAGGGGGGCCAACGCCGCGUCGUACGGAAGAACGCGGCUGCGUUCCCGAGUGAGGAAAGCGAUGGC